rnacentral:rRNA from 1 species
AAUAGAUACCCCGGUAGUCCACGCCGUAAACGAUGAGUGCUAAGUGUUAGGGGGGUUUCCGCCCCUUAGUGCUGCAGCUAACGCAUUAAGCACUCCGCCUGGGGAGUACGGUCGCAAGACUGAAACUCAAAGGAAUUGACGGGGGGCCCGGCACAAGCGGUGGAGCAUGUGGUUUAAUUCGAAGCAACGCGAAGAACCUUACCAGGUCUUGACAUCCCGUUGACCACUGUAGAGAUAUAGUUUCCCCUUCGGGGGCAACGGUGACAGGUGGUGCAUGGUUGUCGUCAGCUCGUGUCGUGAGAUGUUGGGUUAAGUCCCGCAACGAGCGCAACCCUUGAUCUUAGUUGCCAUCAUUUAGUUGGGCACUCUAAGGUGACUGCCGGUGACAAACCGGAGGAAGGUGGGGAUGACGUCAAAUCAUCAUGCCCCUUAUGACCUGGGCUACACACGUGCUACAAUGGACGAUACAAACGGUUGCCAACUCGCGAGAGGGAGCUAAUCCGAUAAAGUCGUUCUCAGUUCGGAUUGUAGGCUGCAACUCGCCUAC